rnacentral:lncRNA from 1 species
UAUGCCAUUGGAUUGAAAAUGGACGGUACAGAUAGGAAUGGAGGUCCCUCAGGCCACUUAUUGUACAUUUGAUGAAAACCCCCCUACUCAGGGUCAGAGAUUAAACAUGACCUUUUCCUGUAACACCCCCAGCUUCCUCAUAUCCAAUCUUGACAACUUUAGAUUUUCACAGCAUUUUUUUUUUGCAGGGAGAUUUUCACAGCAUUGUCCUCGUUCUGUUCGUUGCAAAUCCCAAGAUGGAACAGAUCAUUCUGUCCCUAGUAAAUCUCAAGCUGGACCACCCCAGGCAUAAAUAUACGAGUACAUGUCAAGCACAAAAUUUCGAAUACAUGUCCAAGUGGAUCACCCUAGGCAGAAAUAUUUUAGUGCAUGACAUCCGUCCUAAUUUGAGUACACAAGAGACAUAUACAUAUAUAACUUGUACAUAACAUGACGAUCAUUUUCUAGUACGUGAACAGCGAGCCCUGAGUAUGGACUAAAGUGAUCCCCGCUGAAUACGCAUCAGUACCAAAGCUUGCAUAGGGUUUGUUAUCUGAUUGCACAUUGAAGAAAAGCUAUUCCCUUUUGCCUCCAGUUAUAGUGCAUCUUGCUCAUCAAUCUUUGCGUGCUGGAAAAGAUGGCACCAAACAAUCUUUCAGUUUUGAGCACAAGACGUGUAAGUGUACUUAAAUAUGUAUCAACAAUACAUUGUAAUAAGCAGGAACAAAUCUGGACGCUGUGUAGCAGAAAAAUAAUACUACUUGCCUUCUAAGAAGGGAAAAAUGAAACUCUAACAGCAAACAAAUAAAUAUAUAUUACGAUGGCACAAAGGCACAACUGCACCAGAUCCAAAGCAGAAACAUGAGUCAAAUACAUGGAAGAGAAGCAUUUCCUGCUCUUGUAUGCAGAGACUAGAGAUUCUAAAAAAAGUCUUGCUUCAAUAAUAAUUUGACAGAACAAGUUUACCGCUAGUACAAGGAAACAUUUUUUCCUCUGUUGGUGGAAUGGUGAAGAUGAAUAACUCUUAUCACAGAAUAAACAAAGUAAACCACUUCACGUUGUGCAAACCAAUUAAAUUGCAGCAGAUUUUGACAAUUCAAUUGCUCCUAGAAAUGCAGCAAUACUUGCCACUAUGAACCUGGCUCAACCGGUUUUCUGCAACAUAAGUUUAAAUCAUCUAACCCUUUACAUAGUUAAUCAUGUUCUGGUAUCAAAAAAUCUGAUCAAAAUGUUAUAUUUCAACAGUUCAUCUGUGUGGUUGUAGUGAUUCUACCACUGCCAUUGAGCCAGGGUGGAAUGCUUUACAAUGUGUGUUUUGCAUUUGUUUUUCAUUCCUAUGUUGCAAGCAGGGUGGUCAAAUUCCCUCUGGGAUGUCUUCCUGUUAUGGUCUUACACAUGUGAGUUGUAGAUCAUUUUCAGAAGCGUCUAACCUGGUGGUUUUUUUUUUCUACUUCUAUGAAGGGAGAAAUACCAAUGUUUAGUUACGCAACGCAAGAGUAUGCACCCAAGCAUUGGUACAGGGGAGGUUGCGUAUGAUGUUGGCUCAAAGCGGAUGGAUGUCAGGACUAUGCAAAACGAAAAUGACAGCAGAGAAGAAGUCAGCACAAGUCAACAAGCCACAGAAAAUGCACCUGGCAUUACAAUAGAAAACUAUAGGAGGGAGAAGGGGGAGGGGGAGGGGGAGAAACGGGGCUGACCUUGCAACUGAGCCUGCGAGGCGAACGGGGCGAGGAGACGCCUUGCCUCCGGUGAGCUAUUGCUGGAUCUAGGAGCAACGGGGAGGAGGAAACCGUGGCAACAUCACCACACACUUGAUCUCUACUAGCUUGCCCUUCGGAUCUAAGAAUGUGCAGGUGACCGGGCGGGGCGCCCGUGGCCACCAGGGAGGAGGAAACCGUGGUCGCGACGGCCAGGUCCCGGACGACGAUGCGCAACGCGAUGUUGGGGUGCCCUGGAACGGAUCCAAGCAACCUGGAUACUAGAGUAGGAAGGGAGGAGGCAGGGAAUAGGUGGCGUGGAAGUAGCCGUCGUCGACCAGGGAAGCAACGGAUCUGCCGAUCUGGGCAGCCGCCACCGUCGACGAGAGAGGGGAACGGGGAACGAGCGACACGGGGAGUCGUCUUGAAGGAGAAGGACCUGAAGCAA